rnacentral:tRNA from 1 species
GAGUGGGUGGCGUAGUGGGUAAAGCCUCGGCUUGCUAAGCCGAAGGUCCCGGGUUCGAUUCCCGUUUGGGUCC